UACGAAGGGAGCUAGCGUUGUUCGGAAUUACUGGGCGUAAAGGGCGCGUAGGCGGGUUUCCAAGUCGGGGGUGAAAUUCCGGGGCUCAACCCUGGGACGGCCUUCGAUACUGGGAGCCUGGAGAUCGGGAGAGGUGAGUGGAAUUCCGAGUGUAGAGGUGAAAUUCGUAGAUAUUAGGAAGAACACCGGUGGCGAAGGCGGCCCACUGGUCCGGUACUGACGCUGAGGUGCGAAAGCGUGGGGAGCAAACAGG
rnacentral:rRNA from 1 species